CAGUUUCACUUUGUAUUUGUAGCAAGAUUUUAUGCGAUCAUUUCGUUGGAAAGAAAACACAAAUAUGUUGUCUAAAUUGUGAAGUAAGAAAGAUUUAAUUGAAAUGGCCAGUGCUUCAUUAGAAAGUGUUCCUGUUGAUGAAAUUAACGAACUACUCACAUGUUGCAUGUGUUUGGAAACUCUACAGGAACCAAGAAGCUUGGCUUGCUUUCAUAAUUUUUGUAAAGUCUGUUUAGGUGAGUAUAUUUUACUUUUUAAAAAAAUCUACUUUGCACACACUUGCAUGGGUACCACAGAAUAGGAAUUCAUAUAUCCUUAAUAUCCUGUGAUGGAUAAUGUAUUGGCUGAAUUCAUAAAUAUUUACAAGGUUGGAAAGAUUAAUAUUAAUUUAC